CCUCAACACAGAAAAAGAAAAUCAUAGCACAAAAUACACCAGCUUAAGACUAGCCUUAGAAUUCUUUUUUGCAUUAAUGAAAACUUUACAGAGGAAACAAACACUGAUUUUAUUUUAUGUUUUUCUUUUUUACCAUUCAUUCAACCAUUUGCACACAGAGAGAGAGAGAAGCCAGAAAUCUGACUGGUAAGAAAUUGUUACCCUUUUGCCGGCAUGCCAGGCUUCCGGGUUCCCUUUCCCUGACCAGCCCUAGUGAUCCUGCCUGCAGCACCAUCGCCCUGGGGGCCAAGCCACAUCAUCAAGAAAAAUUAUUAUUUUUCAAAAACUUAUUGUGUCUGAUUGCUAAAUUAUUAACUGCAUUGAAUCCUUCAGUUAAAUAAAGCAAACAAAUGUGAUUUUAGUUUUGACCACUAUUCUCUCUCAAACAGAAAAUAAAUCCUUUCCAAGCAGUGAUAUCUAGGCCAGUAUCUCUAUUUUGCUUUUAGUUGUUUUUCAUACAUCACUGAAAAUUUGGGGACUCCCCUCUGAAUUUACUCCCUGUCUGGGCUUUGCUGCCCUAGUUGCAAAUCCUUACCAGCUGACAUCCUUCCUCCUCUCUAUACUGCAGGUAUUGCUUCUUACAUUUGUAGCCUUCAUGCAGUAUAUCCUUGACUGCUGCUACUAUUCUGCUCUGCUCUAUUAUUUGGAACUUCAUUCCCAUCAAGUCACGCUCACUUGCACUGUAUUUACUUUCCCUAUGCAAUCUGUAUCUACCCAAAGACUCAACACCAUUCCUCUCAAGACACCCAGCAGGGGAAGCUUCAGAUUGUUUAGAUAAGAGGGUCUUAAAGGUGGUAGUCUGCUUUAAACUUGAAGCUAUCAUUGCAGUAGAUAUCACAUACCAAAGAAUGAGGAGCUGAUGGAUAUUAUAAGGGUUGCCAUACCAUCCUACAACCUCCCUGUUGAAAUCUCCAAUGAAUCUAAUCCACCAGCAGAUUACACACUAGCCACUUGCCAUCAUUCAUAGCUGUAUUAUCCUCCCUCUCAUAGUGAUAGAAGGGGCUAUUAAUUAACUUCAGAGAAUCUGGAUCUCUGGAGAAAGAGAGUUGGUCAGGACCCAGGAGGGGUGAUACCAAGAAGAAUCAGCUCAGCCAGGCACAGUGGCUCACACCUGUAAUCCCAGCACUUUGGGAGACCAAGGCAGGCAGAUCACCCGAGGCCAGGAGUUCGAGACUAGCCUCGUCAACAGAGCAAAACCCCAUCUCCACUAAACAUACAAAAAUUAGCUGGGCAUGGUGGUGCAUGCCUGUAAUCCCAGCUACUUGAGAGGCUGGAGCAUGGGAAUUGCUUGAACCCAGGAGGUGGACGUUGCAGUGAGCCAAAAUCAUGCCACUGCACUCCAGCCUAGGCGAUAGAGCGAGACCUUGUCUCACAAAAAAAAAAAAAAAAAAAGAAUCAGCUCCAGGAGACAGAGGUUUCUAGAUUGAAGGAAUCCCUAAUGUAGCUAAAGGAAAGAACUGAGCUUAAGCAUGAUCUUUGCUCAGUAAACUUUCAGAAUAGUUUUAAAUUCAUUUGUAUUCACUCCAAGUAGACUCAAACUUUCAGAGAGAGUGCCUCGGGUUUAGUCCUCUGGAGCAAGGGAAGAACAAACAUUCCUUCUAUGUUGAACUGCUAUGAGGAUCAAAUGAGAUAACACAUGGAGAGUAUCUAGAACAAUUUCUACUAAGAGUAAACACUCAAAAAGUUAUUUUUACUAUAUUAAAAUUGAAUCUAGUCAUUUUAUUUCUCUCACAUUCAUAAAAUUUAUUCCCCAAUGCAAGUUUUAUUGAAGUUAAAUGUAUGCAAAGCAGAUUAGAAUUUUUUCUUGGAGGAGUAGGCAUCAUUGUGGCAAAAAUUUUAACCCUUCCUCUAUCAUCUGCUGUUGUGAGAGCAAUAGCUUAUUUUUACCAGGUUAACAGAGUCAUUCUUGGGUAGAAUGUAUUCCUAUUGAGAUCACCAUCAUAACCCAAAGUUUCUAAGUUUCCUGGAAGAAAUUACAUCUCAAAUGUCAGCCAGUCCUGUUGUAAACACAGGAGUGGGGAAAAGACGUGUGAUGAUGCUGGUAAGAAAAAUACCUCAACAAAAACACUUACCUGGAAAUGAUUUAACAGCAACAUGAGGGCAUUAAUUCCCUUAUUUUGCUUGCUUUCUAGUGUUAAGUAAAACUGGAAUGGCAUUGGUCUUCACAUCUUUCCUUCUGCAAUCACUAUGCACUAUCAUCAAAUUUUUUCUAAGGCCAC
rnacentral:lncRNA from 1 species